rnacentral:rRNA from 1 species
UUAAAUUGAAGAGUUUGAUCAUGGCUCAGAUUGAACGCUGGCGGCAGGCCUAACACAUGCAAGUCGAACGGUAACAGGAAACAGCUUGCUGUUUCGCUGACGAGUGGCGGACGGGUGAGUAAUGUCUGGGAAACUGCCUGAUGGAGGGGGAUAACUACUGGAAACGGUAGCUAAUACCGCAUAACGUCGCAAGACCAAAGAGGGGGACCCUCGGGCCUCUUGCCAUCGG